rnacentral:lncRNA from 1 species
AAAUAUUCCUCUCGUUAUACAGGUGGGCGCCUAUUUAAACUAAGACUGGAAAGUAUUCCUCUCGUUAUACAGAUGGGCGCCUAUUUAAACUAAGACUGAAAAGUAUUCCUCUCGUUAUACAGGUGGGCGCCUAUUUAAACUAAGACUGAAAAUAUUCCUCUCGUUAUACAGGUGGACGCCUAUUCAAACUAAGACUGAAAAGUAUUCCUCUCGUUAUACAGGUGGGCGCCUAUUUAAAAUAAGACUGAAAAGUAUUCCUCUCAUUAUACAGGUGGGCGCCUAUUUAAACUAAGACUGAAAAUUAUUCCUCUCAUUAUACAGGUGGGCGCCUAUUUAAACUAAGACUGAAAAGUAUUCCUCUCGUUAUACAGGUGGG